UAAAUUUGAGAUGGACUUGCUUUUUUAAAGUGGCUUCUUGUGAUUGCACAAGCACAAAAUUAUUGCAACACCGUGUGCUGUGCAAGAAAUUGAGUGCAGUUGUGAGAUGACGAGUCUCGCUCUCUCUCGCUGCGAGGAAAUGACGAUGAGUCAAAAUAUUUACAUGUGUCUCACACAAGUUGUCUCAUUUUUACCUCAGCCGUUCACAUUAUGAUAGAACAAGGCUCCAUCACACGCUUAAAUUUACAUAUUAACAAAGUCUCAUCCAGCAUUUGAAAGUCGUCAUUCGUCACUAAUUUUAGCAUUAGUAUUAAGAUUAUGGUAUACACAGUUAGCAGUAAUAAAAUAUAUAAGGUAUAUAUAUCUAUUAUCGAGUAUAAGAUUACUGAGGUGGGCAGACAAAUUACAACCGUUGACUGUGGUUGGUUAAGACAAAAUAUUAGAAAUUCUCCUCGUGUAUGGAGAAGCUUGCUUGGUUCUUAUUGUGUUACAGAGACUACUGGAAAUUCCACAACGUUGGGCAGCGAGAAGGAGGGAUCUGAUCAUCGUCAGGAUAAUUGUAGGCCUGCGACUUUCUCUUUGGUUAUCUAGCUGUAUGAGCGUCCUGCAAUAACCUCAUAAAGCUAGGUUACCAAGGUUAAAGCCUGACCUAAAAGUCAUCUCUCGUCCAUGCUUCCAUUCAACGCCCUUUACGAAUAAUGGAGUUUGAAAAUGAACAAAUUUAUUGCUUUAUUAUCAAAACAAUCCAGAAAGAUAGAACAUAUGAACACCACCGAAAAUUACAAAACUUAACAACAAAAGUACUCCUAAUUUUAGUGACAUUGUUAACAAAUAGAUAUUUAUUUAAUAUAUUUAGUAAUUUUCUUCGUAGAUAUACACUUUGUUUUAAGGAUCAAUUGAAACGUACAUGUAGUCAAUGUAGAAUUAUAUAUAAAUUAAUAAAAUUAAUAAUAAUUGUAGAAUUAUUUUGCUGCCUACUAUAUAGAUGUAUCAUCUUUUUGGUGUUUGUAGAUACAUACGUACACAUAGUCAAAUUGCCAGUUGGAGAUGAAGAGAUGAUAAUACAUACUGUGUCACGCAGCUACAAAAAUUAUAACUAAAUUUCACUGGUCAAAUUAUUGAACUCUAAAUGACACAAUGGGUUUGACAAUAAUAU